UGGGGGAAGUAUUGCACAAUGGGGGAAACCCGUGAUGCAGCGACGCCGCGUGAAGGAAGAAGUAUUUCGGUAUGUAAACUUCUAUCAGCAGGGAAGAAAAUGACGGUACCUGACUAAGAAGCCCCGGCUAACUACGUGCC
rnacentral:rRNA from 1 species